rnacentral:rRNA from 1 species
AGUCGAGGGGCAGCAUCAUCAAAGCUUGCUUUGAUGGAUGGCGACCGGCGCACGGGUGAGUAACACGUAUCCAACCUGCCGACAACACUGGGAUAGCCUUUCGAAAGAAAGAUUAAUACCGGAUGGCAUAAUUAUUCCGCAUGGGAUAAUUAUUAAAGAAUUUCGGUUGUCGAUGGGGAUGCGUUCCAUUAGGCAGUUGGCGGGGUAACGGCCCACCAAACCUACGAUGGAUAGGGGUUCUGAGAGGAAGGUCCCCCACAUUGGAACUGAGACACGGUCCAAACUCCUACGGGAGGCAGCAGUGAGGAAUAUUGGUCAAUGGACGAGAGUCUGAACCAGCCAAGUAGCGUGAAGGAUGACUGCCCUAUGGGUUGUAAACUUCUUUUAUACGGGAAUAAAGUUAGCCACGUGUGGCUUUUUGUAUGUACCGUAUGAAUAAGGAUCGGCUAACUCCGUGCCAGCAGCCGCGGUAAUACGGAGGAUCCGAGCGUUAUCCGGAUUUAUUGGGUUUAAAGGGAGCGUAGGCGGGUUGUUAAGUCAGUUGUGAAAGUUUGCGGCUCAACCGUAAAAUUGCAGUUGAUACUGGCGACCUUGAGUGCAACAGAGGUAGGCGGAAUUCGUGGUGUAGCGGUGAAAUGCUUAGAUAUCACGAAGAACUCCGAUUGCGAAGGCAGCACACUAAGCCGUAACUGACGUUCAUGCUCGAAAGUGUGGGUAUCAAACAGGAUUAGAUACCCUGGUAGUCCACACGGUAAACGAUGGAUACCCGCUGUUGGCGAUAUACUGUCAGCGGCUUAGCGAAAGCGUUAAGUAUCCCACCUGGGGAGUACGCCGGCAACGGUGAAACUCAAAGGAAUUGACGGGG